rnacentral:snRNA from 1 species
UAACCUUGUCCGCAGUGUUCUUUUCAGUUUAAUCUCUGAAAGAGUUCUAUGGAACUCAAUCGUGAUUAUUCCAAUUUUUUCCUUCGGGAGUGUAUCCUCUGUGCUUGCACAUGAUCACACCCACCGUGUCCCUGGUAUUACACUGCCUCCAGGUGAUGCGAAUGGUUA